AAACAAUGGGGCCAACUAUGUUUAAUUUAGAAUCAUAAGGGACUAAUGUGGGUUAAAAGGAAAGUUGGGAUAUUAUAAGAAAAUAACAACACACACAAACACACAUUCGUGUGUGUUCUACGUCGAUCAGAAGCUCCCAAAGGAGCCAAACCCUAGCUCAAGCUUAUUUGCUCAAAUUGAAAGGGGAAUUCAACCCAAAUCUAAUGUAUGUACCCGAAUUCUUAGUCGUCUAGCCCUAAAGAUCACUUGAAUAGGAACCACACUAGCAUGGACCAAGCAUGGAAGGCUAACGGGUCAAGAUGAGGCAAGCAAGCGGGUAUGAACACGGAUGCACAAGAUAUGUAGGUGCAUAUGAUCAGACGUAUGAAUAUAUGAAUGCACGAAGUAGGAUUUAUCGUCUAUGAAAAGAAUGGGACAGGAAUGAGAACGUCAGACUCUUGUAGAAUUGAAGCCGAACCUUGAAGCCUAACUCGGAACAAAGGAAUCCGAGAGGAUAGUCGAAUGAAUCAAAGUUUAUGUUGUCGAAUGUUAUAUGAUUUUUAAUUUGUAUCAGAUUAUUGUUGUAUGACGUUGCCAAUGACUAAUGGUUAAGUUGUAUGUGGCGUCCACAGGUACUACACGGAUUUCUUCUGCUGCUAAGGAAGUGAAGCGGACGUAGAUCGAGUCAAGAGCAAGGAUUGUACGGAUAGAUCGGUCACAUAGUUGAAGUAUAUAAUGUCUAGAAAUCUAAAUUUUAGUAUGAAUGUUGUGAAUUCUUUUAUAGAACGUUUAACAUUUUUAGAAUUUGGAACCUUCGUGAAAGUAAUGUCGUUAAUAAGGAAAGAAAUUUUAAAGCUCUUUUUCCGCUGCGUCAUUUUUAAGGUUAAACAUGUUAGGGUGAAACAAGUUGGUAUCAGAGCCCUGGUUUGAGAGAAUCAAGUAACAGGAGGUAAAUACUUGAACUCAAACCGGUGUGCUCUCCUGACCAAGAACCCGUGCAAUCCAAGACUCGAUCGAGGCCUAAGGGCAAAAGCGAAUGUAAGUAUGUAUUAGAUUAUGUAUUUGAAGGAAACUAAUAGUAUGUUUUAUGAAGGGUAAGCGCAAUUGUUGGAAGAGAUGAUCCGUGAAUGCGGUCUAGGACCGGCAUCGAGGCAAGUAAUGAAACGAAUUGACCCCAGGUACGUAAACCUAACGUAUGGGCGUAUGAAAUGGUAUGGUUAAGCAAGUGAAAAAAAAUUGAACAAAUUAUGAUAGUGACAUGGUAAAUAAGUUGUGAAAAUGUUACACGAGCCGAAACCAAAUUCUUCGGACAUAAGGUGGCGAUUACGCAAAGACACGAACCUAGUACGUGGAAUGUGUACCCGGCCAAUACACAAGAAACGUAUGACGUUCGUGAGACCGUGAUAAUUAUUACAGGUAUGUCCGAUAGAGUUUGGUAGCAGCUAGGCGUGUGGGUGAAAUGGGUAGUAAGACUCUCGGGGGAUUGAGAGUACUUUGUAGGAAUGAAAUAUGCGAAUGCAAUGCUUGAAUCUGCGAGACGGAUUCAAGGAAUGAAAUAUGCGAAUGCAAUGCUUGGAUCCGCGAGACGGAUUCAAGGAAUGAAAUAUGCGAAUGCAAAGCUUGAAUCCGCGAGACGGAUUCAAGGAAUGAAAUAUGCGAAUGCAAUGCUUGGAUCCGCGAGACGGAUUCAAGGAAUGAAAUAUACGAAUGAAAUGCUUGAAUCCGCGAGACAGAUUCAAGGAAUGAAAUAUGCGAAUGCAAUGCUUGAAUCCGUGAGACGAAUUCAAGGAAUGAAAGGCAUGAACGAAAUGAUUGAAUCCGCGAGACGGCUUCAAAGAAUGAAAGAGGUGAAUGCAGUAUUUGAAUUCGUGAGACGGAUUCAAAACAUGAAAGGUACGAAAGGUAUGAGUAAGGUGUUCGAAUCCGCGAAACGGAUUUAAGGUAUAAACGACUAAAGCUAGUCUACUUGAGAAGAAGUCAAUAGUCUGACCAUAAUUAUGUCACACAAGUCAUAUAAGUAAACGUAAAGCAAAUGAACAAAAGUAUGAUAGGAGUGAAAAUAUCCGAAGGUGUAAGUACUUACGAACCAGACAAGUAAAUGUUUCUUAAGUGAUGUGAUUCAAACUAUGCUUAAAUUUUCAUAUAUAUUUAUAUAUAUAUAUAUGAAUGUAUUUAUGCGAAUGCGUUGUAUGCGAGAAGGUCGAAGGGAUAAACGGGUCAUGCAGGUCAGAUGGCAGUUGCCAUUUGGGCUCGUUAGUUAAUGUUUUGAUAUGAUAAAUUUCGUACUCAUAGGUGAGCUUGAUGAAUGGACGCGCAAUGUCACUAAUCGGAAAGGAAUGAUCUUCGUAAGGUAUGGAUAACAAAUCAAUGGAAUUUACUUUCGAGAGGUAUGUAUAAAAAGGGGUGUAACUUUAAUAAGAGGUUAGUACUCGACUAGGGAUAGAUGUGUCAGAAUAGAAUAUAUAUAUAUAUAUAUAUAUACAAACCGUAGUGCAAAAUGCGAAGUAAAUUUCAAAAUGUUCGUAAUGAUCGUCGGGUAGUAUUGAACUUGAAUGCUCGUAACUGUGGAAAUUAUGAUAAAAUAUAAGAGACGGCAAAUAUUGUCAAGAAAUGCUAACUUUGAUGCUAGGCUUGUUGGCCAUGUUCAUUUGAACAAAACAUUGUAGAAAAGAUACGCAUGGUAUAAAUAACGAUAGUAACCAUGGAAAUAAUGCUUAGUCUCCAUGGUGAGUACGGAUAAGUAGGUUUGAGAAGGGUGAUUUUGGUAGUAAUAGAAGUCCUUGAAUGAUUAUAGUAUGUGUAUAAUAGUAUAUCGACCCCUUCUAAGAGCUUUAAGGUAAUCAGAAGUAAUGAUAGUAAUGAAAUAUUGAGGAUGGCUCAUAGUGAAGAAAAUGAAAGAUAGUAUAUGAGGUAUGUGUGGUAUAAAUAAAUCGAUUUAUUUCGAUUAGCAAAUAUAUGAAGGUAAUAUGCUUAUAUAGGAAGUUAGAAACAAGCCUCAGACUUAGGUUUGUAUGAUUAAUAAUUGUAUACAAUUCGAAUAAAAUUCGAUGAAUGAAACGCUAGUCAUGAUAUGUGCUAAGUACUGGUGUUAUAAAGUAAGAGGCACUAAUAAGAGCUCUGGAGCCGAAUCUAACAUAAGUAUUGUGAAUGAAUAACUUGAAAGGGUUAAGAGUAGAUUUGGUUUGGUUUGGUUCGAAUGAGAAAGGUUUCGGGGACGAAACCUCAUUUAAGGAGGGUAGACUUGUAACGCCCCAAAACUCGAGUCUAAAUAUUUUAUUUGGACAUUUUAUUAGGUUGGCAUGAGUAAGUAGGAUUUAUUGGUCAAGUGGGUUUUUUCACUAACAACCAAGUUAUCUAACUUGGUUAGAUAGUGUUGGCUAUAGAUUGAGAGUGGAAAACAAUGGGGCCAACUAUGUUUAAUUUAGAAUCAUAAGGGACUAAUGUGGGUUAAAAGGAAAGUUGGGAUAUUAUAAGAAAAUAACAACACACACAAACACACAUUCGUGUGUGUUCUACGUCGAUCAGAAGCUCCCAAAGGAGCCAAACCCUAGCUCAAGCUUAUUUGCUCAAAUUGAAAGGGGAAUUCAACCCAAAUCUAAUGCAUGUACCCGAAUUCUUAGUCAUCUAGCCCUAAAGAUCACUUGGAACCACACUAGCAUGGACCAAGCAUGGAAGGCUAACGGGUCAAGAUGAGGCAAGCAAGCGGGUAUGAACACGGAUGCACAAGAUAUGUAGGUGCAUAUGAUCAGACGUAUGAAUAUAUGAAUGCACGAAGUAGGAUUUAUCGUCUAUGAAAAGAAUGGGACAGGUAUGCAUGUAUACAUGGUUUCAAUACGUUUGAGUAUGGACAUUACUAAUGAUGUGCUUGAGAUUGAAAUGUAAUGCAGGAAUGAGAACGUCAGACUCUUGUAGAAUUGAAGCCGAACCUUGAAGCCUAACUCGGAACAAAGGAAUCCGAGAGGAUAGUCGAAUGAAUCAAAGUUUAUGUUAUCGAAUGUUAUAUGAUUUUUAAUUUGUAUUAGAUUAUUGUUGUAUGACGUUGCCAAUGACUAAUGGUUAAGUAGUAUGUGGCGUCCACAGGUACUACACGGAUUUCUUCUGCUGCUAAGGAAGUGAAGCGGACGUAGAUCGAGUCAAGAGCAAGGAUUGUACGGAUAGAUCGGUCACAUAGUUGAAGUAUAUAAUGUCUAGAAAUCUAAAUUUUAGCAUGAAUGUUAUGAAUUCUUUUAUAGAACGUUUAACAUUUUUAGAAUUUGGAACCUUCGUGAAAGUAAUGUCGUUAAUAAGGAAAGAAAUUUUAAAGCUCUUUUUCCGCUGCGUCAUUUUUAAGGUUAAACAUGUUAGGGUGUAACAAAAUUUUAGUGGAAACUAUGAUCACCAUUGUAGGUGAUUAGUGAAACUAUGUGUAAAUUGAUAAACACUAGUAAAUUGACUAUUUUGAAGUGAAUUCAGGAAUUUAGAAGUUAACCAUCUUGUAAAGUGUUGAUUGAGAUGAAAUUAGGGCUAAAUGAUAAGCUAGAAACUUGUCAUAUAAUCAUGUGAAAAAUCUGCCCUUAAGGUGUUUGUAAAAAUGCCCCAAAGAAGGCUUAUAACAGGAAUUUAAAGAUUUAACGCAUAAUUAUGAUGUUUCGGUGUGCUAUGCGAAAUAAGGUUAAAGAAGAGUUCUAAACAUGUCUUGAAUUG